rnacentral:rRNA from 1 species
CUCAGUUCGGAUUGGAGGCUGAAACUCGCCUCCAUGAAGUUGGAUUCGCUAGUAAUCGCGCAUCAGCCAUGGCGCGGUGAAUACGUUCCCGGGCCUUGUACACACCGCCCGUCAAGCCAUGGGAGUUGGGGGUGCCUGAAGUUCGUGACCGAAAGGAGCGACCUAGGGCAAAACCGAUGACUGGGGCUAAGUCGUAACAAGGUACC